GAAAUGCGAUAAGUAAUGUGAAUUGCAGAAUUCAGUGAAUCAUCGAAUCUUUGAACGCACAUUGCGCCCGCCAGUAUUCUGGCGGGCAUGCCUGUUCGAGCGUCAUUACAACCCUCAGGCCCCCGGGCCUGGCGUUGGGGAUCGGCGGAAGCCCCCUGUGGGCACAACGCCGUCCCCCAAAUACAGUGGCGGUCCCGCCGCAGCUUCCAUUGCGUAGUAGCUAACACCUCGCAACUGGAGAGCGGCGCGGCCACGCCGUAAAACACCCAACUUCUGAAUGUUGACCUCGAAUCAGGUAGGAAUACCCGCUGAACUUAAGC
rnacentral:misc_RNA from 1 species